rnacentral:rRNA from 1 species
AGAUUGAACGCUGGCGGCAUGCCUUACACAUGCAAGUCGAACGGUAGAGUAGCAAUACUUGAGAGUGGCGAACGGGUGAGUAAUAUAUCGGAACGUGCCCAGUCGUGGGGGAUAACGUAGAGAAAUUUACGCUAAUACCGCAUACGAUCUAAGGAUGAAAGCGGGGGACCGUAAGGCCUCGCGCGAUUGGAGCGGCUGAUAUCAGAUUAGGUUGUUGGUGAGGUAAAAGCUCACCAAGCCGACGAUCUGUAGCUGGUUUGAGAGAACGACCAGCCACACUGGGACUGAGACACGGCCCAGACUCCUACGGGAGCAGCGAGUGGGGAAUUUUGGAACAAGUGGGGACGAAAGCC